UGCUUGACUUUGAAUUCAAGUUUUUCAAGU
rnacentral:piRNA from 1 species